GUCGACUGAUUAGGGAGAGAGUGGAAUAAUCCGAAUAACUAUUUCUACGAUCCUGCUCCAUUCCAGCCCUGCCAAAGACCCAUGGAGGGACUUAUGGUAUGCACGUCACACCCAAGAUAGGGUAUAACAGAGUGAGGCAUCUAGGUCCCAGUAUUCCUGAUUGUUAGGGGGAUGUUAUUUCCAAGAGUAGGUCUACGAAGUCUGAAGUCUAGGAUUCCCUAUGAAGGGUUACCCACCAUCAUCGUCUAGAGUCCCGUGAUCUCAUAG